rnacentral:rRNA from 1 species
GGUCAAGCGAACAAGUGCAUGUGGUGGAUGCCUUGGCGAUCACAGGCGAUGAAGGACGCGGUAGCCUGCGAAAAGCUACGGGGAGCUGGCAAACAAGCUUUGAUCCGUAGAUGUCCGAAUGGGGAAACCCACUCCUUUUGGAGUAUCCAUGGCUGAAUACAUAGGCCAUGUGAAGCGAACGCGGUGAACUGAAACAUCUAAGUAACCGCAGGAAAAGAAAUCAACCGAGAUUCCCAAAGUAGUGGCGAGCGAAAUGGGAUGAGCCUUGCACUCUUUAUUUGUAUUGUUAGCUGAACGCUCUGGAAAGUGCGGCCAUAGCAGGUGAUAGCCCUGUAGGCGAAAACAGUAUGAAAGAACUAGGUGUGCGACAAGUAGGGCGGGACACGUGAAAUCCUGUCUGAAGAUGGGGGGACCAUCCUCCAAGGCUAAAUACUCGUGAUCGACCGAUAGUGAACCAGUACCGUGAGGGAAAGGCGAAAAGAACCCCGGGAGGGGAGUGAAAUAGAUCCUGAAACCGCAUGCAUACAAACAGUCGGAGCCUCGUAAGGGGUGACGGCGUACCUUUUGUAUAAUGGGUCAGCGACUUACGUUCAGUAGCAAGCUUAACCGUAUAGGGCAGGCGUAGCGAAAGCGAGUCCGAAUAGGGCGUUCAGUUGCUGGGCGUAGACCCGAAACCAGGUGAUCUAUCCAUGGCCAGGAUGAAGGUGCGGUAACACGUACUGGAGGUCCGAACCCACUAACGUUGAAAAGUUAGGGGAUGAGCUGUGGAUAGGGUGAAAGGCUAAACAAACCUGGAAAUAGCUGGUUCUCUCCGAAAACUAUUUAGGUAGUGCCUCGUGUCUCACCUUCGGGGUAGAGCACUGUCAUGGUUGGGGGGUCUAUUGCAGAUUACCCCGCCAUAGCAAACUCCGAAUACCGAAGAGUGCAAUCACGGGAGACAGACAUCGGGUGCUAACGUCCGGUGUCAAGAGGGAAACAACCCAGACCGCCAGCUAAGGUCCCCAAAUAUAGCUAAGUGGGAAACGAAGUGGGAAGGCUAAAACAGUCAGGAGGUUGGCUUAGAAGCAGCCACCCUUUAAAGAAAGCGUAAUAGCUCACUGAUCGAGUCGUCCUGCGCGGAAGAUGUAACGGGGCUAAGCUAUAUACCGAAGCUGCGGAUGCGUGCUUAGCACGCAUGGUAGGAGAGCGUUCCGUAAGCCUGCGAAGGUGCCUUGUAAAGGGUGCUGGAGGUAUCGGAAGUGCGAAUGCUGACAUGAGUAGCGAUAAAGGGGGUGAAAGGCCCCCUCGCCGUAAGCCCAAGGUUUCCUACGCAACGUUCAUCGGCGUAGGGUGAGUCGGCCCCUAAGGCGAGGCAGAAAUGCGUAGCUGAUGGGAAGCAGGUCAAUAUUCCUGCACCAUUGUUAGAUGCGAUGGGGGGACGGAUCGCGGAAGGUUGUCCGGGUGUUGGAAGUCCCGGUCGCUGCAUUGGAGAAGGCGCUUAGGCAAAUCCGGGCGCGGAAUUCAAGGGUGUGGCGCGAGCUCCUUAGGGAGCGAAGCAAUUGGAAGUGGUUCCAAGAAAAGCCUCUAAGCUUCAGUCUAAUGAUGACCGUACCGCAAACCGACACAGGUGGGCGAGAUGAGUAUUCUAAGGCGCUUGAGAGAACUCGGGAGAAGGAACUCGGCAAAUUGGUACCGUAACUUCGGGAUAAGGUACGCCCUUGUAGCUUGACUGGCUUGCGCCAGAAGGGUGAAGGGGUUGCAAUAAACUGGUGGCUGCGACUGUUUAAUAAAACACAGCACUCUGCAAACACGAAAGUGGACGUAUAGGGUGUGACGCCUGCCCGGUGCCGGAAGAUUAAAUGAUGGGGUGCAAGCUCUUGAUUGAAGUCCCGGUAAACGGCGGCCGUAACUAUAACGGUCCUAAGGUAGCGAAAUUCCUUGUCGGGUAAGUUCCGACCUGCACGAAUGGCGUAACGAUGGCCACACUGUCUCCUCCCGAGACUCAGCGAAGUUGAAGUGUUUGUGAUGAUGCAAUCUACCCGCGGCUAGACGGAAAGACCCCAUGAACCUUUACUGUAGCUUUGCAUUGGACUUUGAACCGAUCUGUGUAGGAUAGGUGGGAGGCUAUGAAACCGGAACGCUAGUUUCGGUGGAGCCGUCCUGAAAUACCACCCUGGUUUGUUUGAGGUUCUAACCUUGGCCCGUGAUCCGGGUCGGGGACAGUGCAUGGUAGGCAGUUUGACUGGGGCGGUCUCCUCCCAAAGCGUAACGGAGGAGUACGAAGGUACGCUAGGUACGGUCGGAAAUCGUGCUGAUAGUGCAAUGGCAUAAGCGUGCUUAACUGCGAGACCGACAAGUCGAGCAGGUGCGAAAGCAGGUCAUAGUGAUCCGGUGGUUCUGUAUGGAAGGGCCAUCGCUCAACGGAUAAAAGGUACUCUGGGGAUAACAGGCUGAUACCGCCCAAGAGUUCAUAUCGACGGCGGUGUUUGGCACCUCGAUGUCGGCUCAUCUCAUCCUGGGGCUGUAGCCGGUCCCAAGGGUAUGGCUGUUCGCCAUUUAAAGAGGUACGUGAGCUGGGUUUAAAACGUCGUGAGACAGUUUGGUCCCUAUCUGCCGUGGGCGUUGGAUAUUUGAAGGGGGCUGCUCCUAGUACGAGAGGACCGGAGUGGACGAACCUCUGGUGUACCGGUUGUCACGCCAGUGGCAUCGCCGGGUAGCUAUGUUCGGAAGAGAUAACCGCUGAAAGCAUCUAAGCGGGAAACUCGCCUUAAGAUGAGAUAUCCCUGGGGACUAGAUCCCCUUGAAGGGUCGUUCGAGACCAGGACGUUGAUAGGUCAGGUGUGUAAGCGCAGUAAUGCGUUCAGCUAACUGAUACUAAUUGCCCGUAAGGCUUGAUCCU